rnacentral:rRNA from 1 species
GACGAACGCUGGCGGCGUGCUUAACACAUGCAAGUCGAACGAAGAGCGAUGGAAGCUUGCUUCUAUCAAUCUUAGUGGCGAACGGGUGAGUAACGCGUAAUCAACCUGCCCUUCAGAGGGGGACAACAGUUGGAAACGACUGCUAAUACCGCAUACGAUCUAAUCUCGGCAUCGAGGAUAGAUAAAAGGUGGCCUCUACAUGUAAGCUAUCACUGAAGGAGGGGAUUGCGUCUGAUUAGCUAGUUGGAGGGGUAACGGCCCACCAAGGCGAUGAUCAGUAGCCGGUCUGAGAGGAUGAACGGCCACAUUGGGACUGAGACACGGCCCAGACUCCUACGGGAGGCAGCAGUGGGGAAUCUUCCGCAAUGGACGAAAGUCUGACGGAGCAACGCCGCGUGAGUGAUGACGGCCUUCGGGUUGUAAAGCUCUGUUAAUCGGGACGAAAGGCCUUCUUGCGAACAGUUAGAAGGAUUGACGGUACCGGAAUAGAAAGCCACGGCUAACUACGUG